rnacentral:lncRNA from 1 species
UUUUUAAUCUCUCUUGAUGCCUAGGGGCGAAGGGGUCUACUGAUUCACAGCAGCUUGGUGAGCUGAAACUUGUCCCUGGUGAAUGCAUCUCUCAUGCCAGAAUCACGGCUUUUAAUUUUUAAAAAUCAGAAGAUUGGGAAGCUUGGCCCUCGAGGGAAAUGAAUGUGUCCUGGACCUCUGAUGCCACCUGUGAAGCAGAAGGAUUGUCCCUGAUAUGUGUCCAACAGCCACUCCAGCUGAGGUUAAGGAAGGAAAAUGGCUUGGUAUAAACAGGUUUGCUGAGGAUGAGAUGAGGUUCAAUCCAUCCAGACUCCCCCACUUCCUUCUGGGAGAGGACAGCAGGAGAGAAUGUUGAUAUAACAGCAGGGGAGAGAGGAAGAGGAAAGCAAACAGUUCAGUGGCUAGCUAGGCUUGCAUGGGAAAGGAUCACCUCUGAGGCUGGAUGGACUCUUCUGUCUCUGGGCCUGCAGGCUAUCAGAGGGACAGGGACUCCAUCUCCUUGCCCUGCCACGCCAGCCCUGGAUUGCACACACGCUGCUGAAGCUGACACGUUAAUGUAAAGCAACUUGUGCAUUGCAACAAGGAAACUAAGCCAGAUCAGAGCACCUAUCCCAUGUCAACAUAACCUUAAUGUCCAGCAGUCAUUUGACACUCCCUGCUGAAGCAACUCUACCUCCAAUUAAAACCAUCUGAAAUGAGGGUUUUGAUCUGCUGGGCACUAAGAUUACAGCUCCAGAGAGACUCAUAAAUGCAUAUGGUUUCCUCCUCUUGUUGCCUUUUGUGUCCCCUAUAAAGAAGGGUUCUUCAUGGAACUGAAGGAG